rnacentral:misc_RNA from 1 species
GAUGAAGAACGUAGCGAAAUGCGAUACGUAGUGUGAAUUGCAGAAUUCAGUGAAUCAUCGAAUCUUUGAACGCACAUUGCACCUCUCGGUAUUCCGGGAGGUAUGCCUGUUCGAGCGUCAUUUGUACCCUCAAGCUCUGCUUGGUGUUGGGUGUUUGUUCCGCCUCUGUGUGUGAACUCGCCUCAAAACAAUUGGCAGCCGGCGUACUUGUUUCGGAGCGCAGCACAUUUUGCGAUCCAGAUCAACGUACAGCGGCAUCCAAGAAGCCUUAUUUAACGCUCUUGACCUCGGAUCAGGUAGGGAUACCCGCUGAACUUAAGCAUAUCAUAAGCGGAGGA